UAGAACCACCUAAAAAUAUUCUACUCCAAAUUAAGGAGAGAAUGGCCAAAAACAUUCUUGUUUUCCUGUGAAAUAAAUGCUCAAGUUAUCUUAGUUACUACCACUUGCUAUUUUAUUUCAAGAGAUGAGUGCUCUAAAAAAAAGAGAUACAAGGAAAUAAAAAGGGGCAAGUGCCCGGAACCUCGAAAGAAAAGAAAAAGUGAGACGAGAGGUAAAAAUGGACAAGUGUAUGACAGUAGAAUUAGGGGUACAAGAUACCCACCUG
rnacentral:lncRNA from 1 species